GACGAACGCUGGCGGCGUGCUUAACACAUGCAAGUCGAACGAAAAGAGGGAAAGAGCUUGCUCUUUCCGGAAUUGAGUGGCAAACGGGUGAGUAACACGUAAACAACCUGCCUUCAGGAUGGGGACAACAGACGGAAACGACUGCUAAUACCGAAUAAGUUCCAAGGGCCGCAUGGCCCAUGGAAGAAAAGGUGGCCUCUACCUGUAAGCUAUCGCCUGAAGAGGGGUUUGCGUCUGAUUAGCUGGUUGGAGGGGUAACGGCCCACCAAGGCGACGAUCAGUAGCCGGUCUGAGAGGAUGAACGGCCACACUGGAACUGAGACACGGUCCAGACUCCUACGGGAGGCAGCAGUGGGGAAUCUUCCGCAAUGGGCGAAAGCCUGACGGAGCAACGCCGCGUGAGUGAUGACGGCCUUCGGGUUGUAAAACUCUGUGAUCCGGGACGAAAAGGCAGGGUGCGAAGAACAAACUGCAUUGACGGUACCGGAAAAGCAAGCCACGGCUAACUACGUGCCAGCAGCCGCGGUAAUACGUAGGUGGCAAGCGUUGUCCGGAAUUAUUGGGCGUAAAGCGCGCGCAGGCGGCUUCCCAAGUCCCUCUUAAAAGUGCGGGGCUUAACCCCGUGAUGGGAAGGAAACUGGGAAGCUGGAGUAUCGGAGAGGAAAGUGGAAUUCCUAGUGUAGCGGUGAAAUGCGUAGAGAUUAGGAAGAACACCNGNGGCGANNCGACNUUCUGGACNAAAACUGACGCUGANCGCGAAAGCGUGGGGAGCAAACAGG
rnacentral:rRNA from 1 species